GUGAGGAAUAUUGGACAAUGGGCGCAAGCCUGAUCCAGCCAUGCCGCGUGCAGGAAGACGCAUCUAUGGUGUGUAAACUGCUUUUGUACGGGAAGAAACACUCCCUCGUGAGGGAGCUUGACGGUACCGUAAGAAUAAGGAUCGGCUAACUCCGUGCCAGCAGCCGCGGUAAUACGGAGGAUCCAAGCGUUAUCCGGAAUCAUUGGGUUUAAAGGGUCCGUAGGCGGUUUAAUAAGUCAGUGGUGAAAGCCCAUCGCUCAACGAUGGAACGGCAAUUGAUACUGUUAGACUUGAAUUACAAGGAAGUAACUAGAAUAUGUAGUGUAGCGGUGAAAUGCUUAGAAAUUACAUGGAAUACCAAUUGCGAAGGCAGGUUACUACUUGUGGAUUGACGCUGAUGGACGAAAGCGUGGGGAGCGAACAGGAUUAGAAACCCUAGUAGUCC
rnacentral:rRNA from 1 species